UGGGAAUCUGCCCUUGGGUUCGGAAUAACAGUUGGAAACGACUGCUAAUACCGGAUGAUGACGUAAGUCCAAAGAUUUAUCGCCCAAGGAUGAGCCCGCGUCGGAUUAGCUAGUUGGUGGGGUAAAGGCCUACCAAGGCGACGAUCGUUAGCUGGUCUGAGAGGAUGAUCAGCCAC
rnacentral:rRNA from 1 species